rnacentral:rRNA from 1 species
CAGACGGGAGGCAGCAGGGAGGAAUAUGGGGCAAUGGACGGAAGGCUGAACCAGAAAGGAAGAGGGAAGGUCAGUGAACGAGGGGCGGUAAACUUCUUUUGUGCGGGAGCAAUAAUGGUCACGUGUGGCCAGACGAGAGUACCGUACGAAUAAGCAUCGGCUAACUCCGUGCCAGCAGCCGCGGUAAUACGGGGGAUGCAAGCGUUAUCCGGAUUUAUUGGGUUUAAAGGGUGCGUAGGCUGUGAGGUAAGUCAGCGGUGAAAUGCCCCCGCUCAACGGGGUGGAGUGCCAUUGAUACUGCCUUGCUGGAAUGCGGAUGCCGUGGGAGGAAUGUGUGGUGUAGCGGUGAAAUGCAUAGAUAUCACACAGAACACCGAUUGCGAAGGCAUCUCACGAAUCCGCGAUUGACGCUGAUGCACGAAAGCGUGGGUAUCAAACAGGAUUAGAUACCCUAGUAGUC